GAAAACUUGGUCCUAAUUUCAAUUACUUUUUUAACUAAAAUGAUACAUGCAAAGAAUAAUCUUAACCAGUGGAUACAUAAGAAAAAUUUAUAAAUAAAUAUAAAAAAAAUUAAGAAAAAUUAACUUUUCUUAAAGAUAAAACCCACAACAGCAGUACUAAACUUUAAGCAAUUAGGUAAACCUAGACUUAGUAAUAGAUAAAUUAAUAUUGGUAAAAAUACGUGCCAGCCACCGCGGUUAUACGUAAAAUAUAAAAAGUAAAAAAACAAUUUAAGUGAAAAAUAAUGCAAAGUAAAAUAAAAAAUAGACAACAGUCAAAUGUUAAAUAUAAAAAUAAAACUAAAAACACGAAAGUUUCUUACCAACAAAAACUCACGAAAGUUUAAAAAUAAACCAGGAUUAGAGACCCUGCUAUAUUAAAUCAUAAACUAAAUAAAAAGAACUAAGAGCCAAAGCUUAAAACUUAAAGGACUUGACGGUUUUUUAGAACUACCUAGAGGAGCCUGCAACAUAAUCGACAACCCACGAAAAACCUUACCUUUUUUAGAAAACAGCCUGUAUAUCGUCAUCGUAAGCUCACCUUAUUAAAAGAAGUAAACAAAAUAGAAAAACUAAUACGUUAGAUCAAGAUGCAGCUAAUAAAAAGGAAGUAUGUGGGCUACAAUAAUCAUAAGCGAAUAACGAAAAAUUAAAAUAAAAAUUAAAUAGAAGAAGGAUUUAGUAGUAAGAAACCUAAAUAAAAAUUUUCUGAAACAAGCUCUAAAAUACGUACACACCGCCCGUCACUCUCUUUAACAUAAAAGAGAAAAGUCGUAACAAGGUAAGAGUAGGGGAACCUGCCCUUGGAAU
rnacentral:ncRNA from 1 species